rnacentral:rRNA from 1 species
UACGGGGGGGGCAAGCGUUGUUCGGAAUUACUGGGCGUAAAGGGCUCGUAGGUGGCCAACUAAGUCAGACGUGAAAUCCCUCGGCUUAACCGGGGAACUGCGUCCGAUACUGGAUGGCUUGAGUUUGGGAGAGGGAUGCGGAAUUCCAGGUGUAGCGGUGAAAUGCGUAGAUAUCUGGAGGAACACCGGUGGCGAAGGCGGCAUCCUGGACCAACACUGACGCUGAGGAGCGAAAGCCAGGGGAGCAAACGGG